CCUACGGGUGGCAGCAGUGAGGAAUAUUGGUCAAUGGGCGCGAGCCUGAACCAGCCAAGUAGCGUGAAGGAUGACUGCCCUAUGGGUUGUAAACUUCUUUUAUAUGGGAAUAAAGUGCAGUAUGUAUACUUCUUUGCAUGUACCUUAUGAAUAAGGAUCGGCUAACUCCGUGCCAGCAGCCGCGGUAAUACGGAGGAUCCGAGCGUUAUCCGGUUUUAUUGGGUUUAACGGGAGCGUAGACGGGUUGUUAAGUCAGUUGUGAAAGUUUGCGGCUCAACCGUAAAAUUGCAGUUGAUACUGGCAGCCUUGAGUACAGUAGAGGUAGGCGGAAUUCGUGGUGUAGCGGUGAAGUGCUUAGAUAUCACGAAGAACUCCGAUUGCGAAGGCAGCCUACUGAACUGUAACUGACGCUGAUGCUCGAAAGUGUGGGUAUCAAACAGGAUUAGAUACCCCUGUAGUC
rnacentral:rRNA from 1 species